rnacentral:lncRNA from 1 species
UGAAACCCCUCCUUCAACAACCAGAACACAACAACCUCUACCUAAAUUCAAUCUUGCCAAUACAUCCUUACCACUAUCCGAAGCUGAAGAAUUCAAUCAAACCACUUCCUCAUCUUCAGCCUCAGAAUCACCUCCCUACCUUAUCCUCUCCUCUGAACCAGAACCUUCUGACCCCGCUUCUCCCACUCUAGCCCAACUCUCAUCUCUAAACCGUAACUCACAACAACCUCCACUUGAACCUGAAGUAAAUUCACCACCCCCAGAACAAACAACUAACACCCGUUC